CCAAAUUUCUCAAAAUACAAUAAAUUUAAACAAGACCAAAUUUCUCAAAAUACAAUAAAUUUAAACAAGACCAAAUUUCUCAAAAUACAAUAUACUGUACUGCACCAUUGCAGUGUGUAUAUAAACUGCAUACUAGAGUGCAUAGGAUAUUUUUGCAGUAGCUGUUCUUCUUGGGGUACAGGUUGUUAUGACCAUCCCAACUACCCCAAAGGCAAAUUACUAAUGGAUUGUGAGUUUGAGUCUGUAAGCACCAAUUUUUGUAUUUGUAUUGUUUUAUUUCACAAAAAUGUUACAACUAGAAUUUGA